rnacentral:rRNA from 1 species
GCCUUCGGGUUGUAAACCUCUUUCAGCAGGGAAGAAGCGAAAGUGACGGUACCUGCAGAAGAAGCACCGGCUAACUACGUGCCAGCAGCCGCGGUAAUACGUAGGGUGCAAGCGUUGUCCGGAUUUAUUGGGCGUAAAGAGCUCGUAGGCGGUUAGUCACGUCGGAUGUGAAAUCCCGGAGCUUAACUCCGGGCCUGCAUUCGAUACGGGCUGACUCGAGUGUUGUAGGGGAGACUGGAACUCCUGGUGUAGCGGUGAAAUGCGCAGAUAUCAGGAAGAACACCGGUGGCGAAGGCGGGUCUCUGGGCAACUACUGACGCUGAGGAGCGAAAGCGUGGGGAGCAAACAGGAUUAGAUACCCUGGUAGUCCACGCCGUAAACGGUGGGCGCUAGGUGUGGGGACCUUCCACGUUCUCUGCGCCGCAGCUAACGCAUUAAGCGCCCCGCCUGGGGAGUACGGCCGCAAGGCUAAAACUCAAAGGAAUUGACGG